rnacentral:rRNA from 1 species
AACGAACGCUGGCGGCAUGCCUAACACAUGCAAGUCGAACGACACCUUCGGGUCUAGUGGCGCACGGGUACGUAACGCGUGGGAACCUGCCUUUAGGUUCGGAAUAACUCAGAGAAAUUUGCGCUAAUACCGGCCGAUGUCUUCGGACCAAAGAUUUAUCGCCUUUAGAUGGGCCCGCGUUGGCUUAGCUAGUUGGUGGGGUAAAGGCCUACCAAGGCGACGAUCCAUAGCUGGUCUGAGAGGAUGAUCAGCCACACUGGGACUGAGACACGGCCCAGACUCCUACGGGAGGCAGCAGUGGGGAAUAUAGGACAAUGGGCGAAAGCAUGAUCCAGCAAUGCCGCGUGAGUGAUGAAGGCCUUAGGGUUGUAAAGCUCUUUUACCCGAGAUGAUAAUGACAGUACCGGGAGAAUAAGCUCCGGCUAACUCCGUG